rnacentral:rRNA from 1 species
UACGUAGGCGGUCACUUAAGUCAGAUGUGAAAGCCCGAGGCUCAACCUCGGGAUUGCAUUUGAAACUGGGUGACUAGAGUACAGGAGAGGUAAGUGGAAUUCCUAGUGUAGCGGUGAAAUGCGUAGAUAUUAGGAAGAACACCAGUGGCGAAGGCGACUUACUGGACUGUUACUGACGCUGAGGUACGAAAGCGUGGGGAGCGAACAGGAUUAGAUACCCUGGUAGUCC